CUCUGAUACAGCUGAUGUACUGUAGCUUUAUAUUCGCACAAAUAGAACAUACAUUCAACCAACAAUGAAUAAAGGGAGCCAUGUGAAUUAUGAAAUAAUCAUUGCCAUCCUCCUGUUUUCAGAUGUCUGUUCGAAAACGAAACAAGAUUAUGGAAUAUUCACAGCAUGUGUCAACACAAACCAAAGCCUAACGCUUAGAUGUUUUUACCCACGUUGUGAAAGUGAUAAAACGCCCUUUCACUGUAACCUGUAUGAUGCUGAGGGAGACAGAAGAACUCUAGUUAGCAGCUCAGCACAGUCUGAAGAGUGUCGACACACUAUCAAUGAUGACCACAUUACCAUUUACCAUAACAAGACCAAGAUUUACAUAUGUAUUCUGUCACGGAGAUCAGCUCUGGAAGAAAGGACAAUCACUGUGAACCAUGCCAAUAAAAAAGAGCGACCACAUAAAUGCAAAUCGGGAGGAGAAUACACACGUGUCUCAGGAUUGCUUUACACAAUAGCAUUUCUUUUCUUUCAAGAAACUUAUUUAUAAAUGCAUAGCUCUUUAAAAGCAAACUCAGACAUCAAAUUUUGAUAAAAUAUUAUUAAAGCUAUAAAGCAGGGACAUAUAAGAUGUGACAAAUUCAUUAUCAUUUACUAGCAUUUAUAUGUUUCUUCAUAUAAGGGCAUUUGUGCCUUGCCUUAAACCAAAUUCCAUAAUCCUAGUUAACACGUUUCUAAGUGUGCAGUGCAUGCAUCAUGAUGAAAUCAUUUUGUGUCUGUGUGUUGUUUAUUAUCUGAAUGUCAUGCAAUUUUUUGCUGCUUUGUGCGGUAUUCACACGUCUCAAAAUUAGCAUUUGUCAUUUUCAUCUUUGUUAUUUUGAUAGCCAAGGGUGUAUUUGUAUUCAUCGUUAAGUUUGCAGUGGUGGAAAAAAUGAUGUUGUUUAAAUACAGUAUAUAUUUCAGAAAUUAA
rnacentral:lncRNA from 1 species